rnacentral:rRNA from 1 species
GCUUACGACCACACCGGCCUGAGUACGCCUGAUCUCGUUUGAUCUCGGAAGCUAAGCAGGGUCAGGCCUGGUUAGUACUUGGAUGGGAGACCGCCUGGGAAUACCAGGUGCUGUAAGUU